CCGGCAAUAUGUUUGUAAAAUGAAUCUGAAAAAGGAAACAUGAGACGAGCCAAUGUGUAGUCUGUUAAAACCAUGGGAGAAGGUGUUAAUAAAAUAGGGUGCUCACCUUUAUUCUGAGCCCACAAUCCUGGCUCUGAGGUAUGCAGGUACUGUGCCAAUUUAAUGGGGAUGGCACUACCCCUAUGAGGAUUCCUUGAGGCUCCAAAAAUGACUUUGAUAAAAUAACAGAAUUUAUUACAAUGUUAACAUAAACAUAUAAAAUAAUACUUGCAGUAAUAAAAAAGUAGCCAAUACAGUAAAGGGCUUCCUCAGUCAGCUGUAGACUGACUUACUCAACAGCUGCUUGAGGAAGCCUCAAGGAAUCCUCAUAGGGGUAGUGCCAUCCUCACUAAAUUGGCACAGUACCCACAAACCUCAGAGCCGGGAUUGCAAGGCUCAGAAUAAUGUGAGCACCCUAUUUUAACAGACCACCUAUUGGCUUGUCUGUUUUAUGUUUUCCUUUUUGAGAUUUAUUUUACAACGUAUUGGAGGUGUGGUGCUGCCAUAAGAGCACACCAGUUUGAUUACGGAGCCAGUACUCACACACAGGCUCCUUAAAAUGUGAGUGUUCUGACUUCAAUAUCACAUAUUGUGUUCCACUUUAUAUAACAUCUGCACUAUACGGUAUCUUGUCUUAUCUUUUAGAUGUAUCUUAAACAAAUUUUUUAUUCAAGUUACGUGGUAACUUACCUCACAUACGCACUAUAUAUAAACAAUUUGUUUAGCGCUCCACUAAUAGGUGUAGGCUGUUGCUUACACCGGUUUAUAGACUUUUGACUUUUUUGUUAAUAAGAGGCUAUUGCCACAUUAGUGUAUAGAGCUGCUUGCAUUUUUAUUGUUCCACACACCCCUCCCAUGUAGGAGGUGUAUUUUGACUUGCAUUCUAUAAAUCUGGCUUAACAUUCCCAGGGUUAUUUUAAUAAACAUUGAAAGGUAGUAAGUAACAAGCUGGAUUGGCACGCAGAGCCGAUCUCUAAAAAUUAAUUAAAAUAAAAAUACAAAAUGUAAUUCUGAGUUUGCAAUUUUAGCCGCCAUUUGGAUUUGCGUGUGCUGCGUUCUGGCCUUUUGGUGAAUAACCCUGGUGUGUUUGUAUGGGUGGGGUGAGCACUCUGGGGUAAAGACGUUGUGCUCCUCUGUGGUGGGUGUUCACGUAAACUGCUCCUUCGAGAGUUAACUUGUAGGACCUCUAAAAUAUAAAUGGUUUUAUUUUAAAUAAGUGAAAUGUAAAUUAUAAAAAGUUCAUUCUAGCGAGGGUCCCAGGGACGCUCUGUACACGGCGUGGCGUAGCGCCUAUCAUGCAUUCAGCGGGCGCACAGAUGGCAGGAUUGUGGGCCGUGCAGUCUUUCUAGUAUUAGGUGUGCGUGAAUUGUAAUCCAGCAUCCAGAGAAAGAUUCUGAAUGUGACGAGGCUCGCUGUAAUCUGUUUGAGGCUGUUUUAUCCUGUAAAUCUAGAUUCAGGGGGAGCCGGUCCCCUUUAAGUUGCAGUGUCUGAACAUGCUGGGGGUGUUGGCCACACACAGGCGCGGCGGUGUUACUUCAGUUAUUACUAGCAGGGAGGAUGGGACAACGUGCUGCUGCUUUUCCUUUGGUUUCCCUGGGCGUUCUCUGUGAGCGUACAAAGCAACACGCAGUCAUGCGCCAUGAAUAUUUCAACGUGUUCCUGGCUAAAGGGAAAAGAUUUAUAUUUAUAGAGAACCAAGAGGCAGCACUCGCCUGAACACUCAUACAAUAUAGGGUGCUGCUGGAGCCUUUUCAUACAAGAUCCAUACAAGAUUCUGUGAGCUGUUUACUGUGUGUGUGUGUGUGUGUGAAAAUAUAUAUAUAUAUAUAUAUAUGUUCAUAUUACUCUGGUUGAUCAAUAGAUACAGAACAAUGGAGCUACAAACUAGUGUCUAAAAUAAAUAAAUACACCUAGUUUAGUAUCACGUUAACCCCCACAACCCCCGGGGGUUGUAGUAACCGUUGCUUACAUAGUUACAUAGCUGAAAAGACUGAAGAAGAAAAGUUUCCAAUUUUGCAACAAACUAGGAAAAAAUUAUUUCGCUACCCCAAAAUAGCAGUCAGAUGUCUCCUUGGAUCAAGCAGCUAUUACCCCACUAAUUAGAAAUUAUAUCCCUGUAUGUUAUGUUUUUGGAAGUAUUUAUCCAAUUACUGUUUAAAUAACUGUAUAGACUCUGACAAAACCACCUCUUCAGGCAGAGAAUUCCAUAUCCUUAUUGCUCUUACUGUAAAAAAAACCUUUUCUUUGCCUUAGAUGAAAUCUCCUUUCUUCCAGCCUAAAUGUGUGACCUUGUGUCCUAUGUAAAGCCCUGUUUAUGAAUAGAUUUCCAGAUAUAUACUGACCCCGAAUAUAUUUGUAUAACGUUAUCAUACCCCCUCUCAGGCGCCGUUUUUCUAAACUAAAGAGAUUUAAUUUUUUUUUAACCUUUCUUCAUAACUAAAGUGCUCCAUUCCUUUUAUCAAUUUUGUAGCUCGUCUCUGCACUUUUUCUAGUGCCAUGAUAUCCUUCUUUAGAACAGGUGCCCAAAAUUGCACAGCAUAUUCAAGGUGUGGUCUUACCAGCGAUUUAUAAAGAGGCAAAAUUAUAUUUUCAUCCCGAGAAUUUAUGCCCCUUUUUAUCCAUAACAAAACCUUACUGGCCUUAGCAACUGCAGACUGACAUUGCAUAUUGCUGCCUAAUUUGUUGCCUAUAACAAUUCCCAAAUCCUUCUCGUGUGUGGUUAUCCCUAAUUCACUACCAUUUAGGGUGUAAGUUGCUUUGUGGAAGUAGUGAUUCCAGCAGGGUUUGGCAAAUUUAUUCAGAUUUAUUGUAAUUCUAAUAAAAAAUAAAAAUAAACCUUUAUUUUAUACUUUGUAUUGCUUUACUUUGACCAAGUAGCAGAGGAGAGAUUGGGAGCAGUUAACCCCCGCUAUAUCUCUGGAGACAACUUUGAGCUGUGUUCUACACAUACAUUUCCUGAGUGAAAAGAUUUUGGAUAACCACCAUAAAUCAGUAUUAAACAAAGGGUUAAAAUUCGCCCCAAAUGUAGGAUUGAACCAUUUUGAUAUAUACAUAGAUUUAAAUAGAUUAAAACGCAGCUUAUGUUUAAAAAAAAUGUUUCUUUAACAAUCAACAAUCAACCGAAGGUUCAACCGAUUCAGGAAGUUGACCCUACAGGAUUCAAACAUACUACUUUAAAGAACAAAUCUUUUUAUCCCAAACAAAUGAUAUCGGACGAAAUAGUAUCGUUUGAAACUAUGGUCAUGACUGAAUUAAAGAAGAUUGUUCCUAAAGACAAAUUUAGACACAAUUUGACAAUGUUGGAAAAAAGGGCAUUGAAAGAUCUCCAGACAGAUAGAAAUAUAGUCAUAAAACCGGACGACAAGGGAGGAGGAAUAGUUCUGAUGUCGAGACAAUUUUAUAACACAGAAGCAAAGAAUAUUCUGAAAGAUAUUAAUACAUAUCAAGAACUUAAAGCAAAUCCGAGUGAAAGUAUCUAUAUAUAUCCUUCUCGAAAUUUUUUGAAAAAGGGUUCCAGGAUAAUAUCUUGAGUUUAAAAGAAUUCCAAUUUUUGAACAUUAAAUUCCCUAAGAUUCCGUUUUUUUUAACUUUCUACCGAAAGUCCACAAUGACGUAAGGAAGCCUCCUGGUAGACCAAUUAUAGCAGGGAUAGACUCCAUUUCCAGUAGACUAUCCCAGUACAUAGAUGUACAGUUACAACCACUGGUUUUAAAUACAAAAUCACAUAUUAAAGAUACAAUCACAGUUUUAAAUAGAUUGGAGAACAUAACUUGGGAUGAUAAUUGCAUCCUAGUCACAUGUGAUGUGGCAGCGCUCCAUAGUAAUAUUCUACACUCUUAUGGCUGUAGAGCAGCAAGACACUUUCUGACAGAAUCAAAGGGAUUCAAUCAAGAACAAAUUGAGUACAUUAUAGAAGGGAUAGAGCUGAUUCUAAAGAACAACUUUUUUCUGUAAGUAAAUGGGAUGGCCAUGGGGACCAAGUUUGCCCCCAGCUAUGCCAAUCUAUUUAUGUCCUAUUUAUGAUGGGCAUGGCUGGGUGGAAAGCUUGGUCUUUUAUGGCCGCUAUAUAGAUGACAUACUGUUCAUCUGGAGAGGUGAGGAGAAGGAUCUAAUGGUAUUCCUGGAAUUCUUAAAUACCAAUGACUGGGGCAUCAAACUCAGUAGUACAUGGAGCAGAGAAUUGGUCACAUUCCUGGAUUUAGACAUUUUCAUAGAAGAAGGGAAAAUUAAGACUAAAAAUCACUUUAAACAAGUAGAUUGUAAUAGAUUUAUAGAGAAUGUAAAUUGCCAUCAUUCCCCCUGGCUAGAGAAUGCACCAAAAGGACAAUUCUUGAGGAUCCGACGUAAUUGUAGCGACCUCGUUGUCUAUGAUGAACAGUCUUUGCAUAUAAAGACAGACUUCCUGGCCAAGGGUUAUGAUGCCCGUAAACUAGAGAAUUCAAGGAAUGAAGUUAGGAAUAGAGAAAGAAAGGAGCUGUUAUCCUAUAAAAAUAAAAUAAUCACAGAUGUACAAGAUGUCCCAUUUGUCUGUAAUUAUAACUCUCACAAGUAUCAAAUCAACCAGAUUAAGAAAUAUUGGCCGAUAUUACUACAGGAUCCUGUUUUGAAACAAAUUCUUCCCAUUAAUCCUAGAAUGAUAUAUAGGGGUGCUAAAAACCUCAAGAACACUCUAGUACGAAGCUCGUUGAAAGAAGUCAAAACCCCUUCCACUAUAUUUAAUAAUGAAAAGGGUUUUUAUGGCUGUGGACAAUGUACAGCUUGUAAGAAGUCAGGAUGUGCCUGGAGAAAAGUGGAAGACAUUAAUCUAAAUGGAAUAGAUAAAAUUCAAAUAAAACAGUUUAUAACUUGUUAUUCUAAAAACGUGAUCUAUCUUCUGACUUGCCCAUGUAGGGAAGGACAACUAGACCCUUACAUGUCAGAAUUAGAGAACAUGUAUACAAAAUACAAACAGGUUACGAACAACACCGCGUAUCUAAUCAUUUUAAACUAUAUCAUGAUCAGAAACCAGAAGGUUUGACCUUCUGUGGCAUUGACAAAGUGGGAAAGAACUGGAGAGGUGGGGAUUUUAUAAGGGAUUUGGGGAAACGGGAGAUGGAGUGGAUCUAUAAAUUGAACACUCUAAUCCCUAAUGGCCUCAACUACGAUUUUGAAUUAUGCCAUUUUUUAUAAUGUUAUUAUUUUUAGUGAUAUUAUUUAUAUAUGUAUUUUUUAUAAAUGAAUUAAAAUCAGCUUACA